rnacentral:lncRNA from 1 species
GUGGCUUCUAAAAACUAUGCUGCCUGGGCCUAUCCUGACAGAUUGAGUUAACAGGUGUUGGGCAGGGUCCUGACAUCACUAGUACGGCACAGCUCCCAGGUGAUUCUAAUGUGGGCCAGGUUAAAGAGCCAGGUCUGGUAUUGCGGUGGAGUCAGAGGACUCUGGAGGUAGACAAUUCAGCCAUGGUGCACCAGCUCUGCUAUCUAUGUGAACUGGGGUGAGUUAUUUGACCUCUCUGAGGCUUGGUUUUCUAGUUUGGACAAUGAGAGCAAGCAUAGCUAUUGUGCAGGGCUAUUGUAAAGAUUACAUGCAUUAAUAAGGCAAAUUAAGUGCCUAAUGCAGUGCCUAGCACAUGGGCGGUACCAAAUAACUGCCAGACUCUUCUUCUAAUACUUCAAAGUGUCUUCACAUCUGCUUUGUGAUUUAAUGUUCACUUCAACCUUGUGGGAUAGGAGAAGAAUACGGGCUUGCAAGUUUGGGUGUCUAUAGGUCUGGCUGAUUUAGACUUUCAUAUCAUUUCAUUAUUAAAAUAAUUCCAUAUCCUCUCUGUCCUCUGGAGAAUCUCAGGUUCUCAGUCCGUGGAGCUCUUUUCUCUACACAUUCCCUUAGUGAUCUCAUCCAAUCUGAUAGUCUAAAAUAACAUCCAUAGCCUGCAAACUUCAGCCUGGAUCAGGAUUCCAGACUCCACUGGAUGUCAAAAAGACAUAUCAAACUUCACAUGUGCAAAUCCAAACUCUUGAUCUGUUCCCACAUGACUUUCAACCACUAACAUCUGCUCCUCUGCAGUCUUCCCUAAGCCAGUAAAUGGAUCCUUACACCCCUCAGGCCAAACAUCUUGAAUUCCUUUCUUUUACCUACAUAUCCAAUUCACCAGCAAUUCCUAUUAGUUCUGUGUUCAAAAUGGAUCUCAAAUCCAAAGCUUCUCAACUCUUCCACCCCUAUUACCUUUGACCAAACCACCCUAAACUCUUGUCUGGAUAAAAGCCUCUCUCUUGAGUCUUCCUUUCUCACUGCCACACCUUCCCACAAAACCCCAGUCUACUUUUAACAGAACAACCAUAGGGAUCCUUUCAAAGUAGAAGUGAGAUCUUGUCCCUCAUCAAUUCAAAACCCCCAAUGGCUUCCCCUCUCAUUCUGAGUAAGAGGCAAGUCCCUACAAUGGCCAAUAAGGCCUAACACAAUAUUAUUGGCCCCUCUCCCAUUACCAUUCCCCGGUCUCCUAUCUCUCACUCAUUCUGCUCCCAAGGUGAGCUUCCUCCUCCUUCCUCCAACAUGCCAAGCGCACUGCUGCCUCAGGUCUUUGCCUUCACUGUUCCUUCUCCUUGGAAUCUCCUUCCCCGAAAUAUCCACAGGCUUGCUCCCUAUUUCCUUCAGGUAUUUUGACCCAAUGUGCCCUUUAAGGCUGAAACCUUCUCAUCUCCACCCUGGCAUUCCUGAUUCUCCUUUCUGGUUUUCUUUUUCUCCAUUGCUUACCACCAUCUGAUGUCCUGUAUAUUCAAGUGUCUGCUUAUUCCCACUAGAAAUUUUGGAAGCUAGAUGAGGGCAAGAACUUUUUUGGUGUUUUGUUCACUGCUGUCCCCCUACAGCCUAGAGCAGGGCACAUAGUAAGUACCAAAUAAACACUUGCUGAAUGAAUGAAUGGAUGAUGUAGAUUAUGUUUUAAAAGCAUCUUUUCAUUGGCACUGUAUAGAGCAAACUUGUAGCAAAGGCAGCCCUGGGAAGUGUCACAGCUACAAUUUCAUUAACAUGCUCAGCUUCGGUACAGAUGACAUUCCAAAUCAGCUGGCUUCCUGGGGCCCAGGAAUCUUUUGAGUUGUGUCCAAUUUUAUAUCUCCUCCUGCCCCUAGGGUAACUUGUCAAAAACCUACUGGGUACCCCAUAGCUUGAAAAAGUGGGUAGCUAACUUUAAUUUCUGGCUGGAGUUGUUUGGAUGGGGCUGUAAAUGGGGACAUACAAGGGGAAACUGUUACCCUUGCUUUGCAGCUGUAGGCUCAUGUAUUCUUUACUGCAAAGAAGCAUGGAGCGGGCUGUCAUUAAAGACACUCAACCUGGUUUCUAGUGUCUGGUUCAAUUAAGAGAACUUCUAGGAAGAGACAUGACCAAAUAAAUAAUUGGAGAGAUGCAACUCUGAAAGGACAAUUGUUUUUUAUCGAUCUCUGUUUGCAAGUUGAAAUUGAGAGAUACAAACUUUAAGUGGAUGGGCUCUCCUGGGUGAGAGUCUUCACUUCAAACGCAGUAAAUGAGUGUUGUUUUGUGAUGCACAUUUUAGUACUGCUAGAGGUAAACUUUCUAAAUAUUAAUAAUAAUAAUAAACAAAUCCCUCUGCAACUGACAGCGAGUGCACAGAUGAACAGGGAUUUCCAGGAAACAGGCUGUUCUGGUCUUCUGGAUGUGGCAAAGUCUUCAUCAGAAGGGACAAGCUCCAGAACAACAGAAAGUGUGCCCCUCAUUACUUUGGAAUUCCCCUUUCAGGAGCACUGAGGGCAUGUGAGUUGAUUUUUAAUGGGUAAAAUUAAUCUCUUUAGAGCCAUCUCUAUUAUAAGGUAUUUUUUAGUUUGAAAUUAAUAGGAAACUAUGGAAUUAAAAGCUUCUAAUGCUAAGAGCUGUCAUUAGGAAGCGCAGUGACAAGGAUUCAAUAUACUGUGAGGUGCCACUGUACAAUAUGUGGGAUUUUUCAUGUCUCCUUGCCAUUGAGCUGUAGGUGACAACUGCAGGUAGAGCUUAGCUAGAAUGAAGCUGACACAUGCAAGCACUUGGCCCCUCUUGUUCCUGCUCCAUCACUCAGGCUGAGCAAGCAUCAGAUAGCUAACACGCCACUCAUAGGUACAUCUAGAGGGCUGGGUGGUGUGAUGGAAAGGACGUGGGCUUUGAAAUUAGAGACCUGAGUUUAAAUCCUCACUGUACCACCCACCAGCUAUAUAAGCAGAUGAUCUUACCCUAACCCCCCUCAGUUUCCACAUCUGACUCAAAUGAGGUUAAAAUAACUAUCUCGAAGGGUGGUUAGAGGUUUCAAGUGAGACAGUGUAUGGGAAGUACCUAGUAUAGUACCUGGCAUAGAGUGAGCAUCCCCAAAAUGAUAGCUAUUAGGAUUAUUAUUGUUGCUGUUGUUGUUAUUAUUAUUAUAAGAAGUAGCAUUAUGAAAUAGUAUUAUGGGGCUCAAAUUUAGCAGUCUACCAGGACUGGCCAGGGAGGGGCUUGUCACUGAGAUCAUUCAGGAUGAGGUGUGCAGCACUUCUAAAACACUGCAGAUGGUGAUGCUGUGGACUGCCCUGGGAACUGAAACUCCCUCCCGCCGAUGCUGCCCAAACUCCCACUGGCCUCAUCUGUUUACAAGCCCUGUAUUCUUGAUUGACAGAAGGAACAAUCUCCUAACCAUCUAUGGAAAGACUAAUCUUAUCUCACAGAGUCGUAACACCUUCAGGGUAGAAGAUACAACACACUUUGUUCUACAAAUGAGGAAAGUGAGGCCUAGGAGCUGUGUGUGCAGCCAAGCAGUGAGGAAGACCAAACUACACCUCCCAUCAAAUCAGAGUCAGUCAAUAAUGAUUUAAACCAAAAAGAAGUAUUGUCUGGGGAAACAGAAAAAUAAAAUUCACUCUCAGAAAUAUAAAUCACAAGUUGAAUGACAAACUUUUAUCACCAAUAAAAGAUUAAGAAAAAUAUAUUCAGCUCAUACUUCC